CUGAGAAGCAAACUCAAUGGGAAGCUUAUACAAUAAAUUGCCAAUCGUUUACAAUAGAAUUACAGAAGGGUAUAAAUACUUCGGCUUUGCAAGGAGUAUGCAGUAUUAGAUAAUAUGCGGCACACGAACGAACAGUUUGUCUUGUGUUGUAUUGUGUUUCGCUUACCUGCCGACUUUAGAUUUCUCCGCCGGCCACUUCUCAAGCAACAUGAAAAGGCGGCACGUUCUUCGAAGGUUUUCGAGAUGACAAA